CCUACGGUGAGCUGCAGUGAGGAAUAUUGGUCAAUGGACGGAAGUCUGAACCAGCCAUGCCGCGUGCAGGAAGACGGCUCUAUGAGUUGUAAACUGCUUUUGUACAAGGGUAAACCUGAAUACGUGUAUUCAGCUGAAAGUACUGUACGAAUAAGGAUCGGCUAACUCCGUGCCAGCAGUCGCGGUAAUACGGAGGAUCCAAGCGUUAUCCGGAUUUAUUGGGUUUAACGGGUGCGUAGGCGGAUUGAUAAGUUAGAGGUGAACUGUCCGAGCUUAACUCGGGAACUGCCUCUAAUACUGGUGAUCUAGAGAGUAGAUGCGGUAGGCGGAAUGUAUGGUGUAGCGGUGAAAUGCUUAGAGAUCAUACAGAACACCGAUUGCGAAGGCAGCUUACCAAUCUAUAUCUGACGUUGAGGCACGAAAGCGUGGGGAGCAAACAGGAUUAGAUACCCUGGUAGUC
rnacentral:rRNA from 1 species